GACAGAGGGUGCAAACGUUGUUCGGAUUUACUGGGCGUAAAGCGCGUGUAGGCGGCUUUACAAGUCGGAUGUGAAAGCCCACGGCUCAACCGUGGAAGUGCAUCCGAAACUGGAUCGCUGGAGUCCCGGAGAGGAAGGUGGAAUGCUUGGUGUAGAGGUGAAAUUCGUAGAUAUCAAGCAGAACACCUGCGGCGAAGGCGGCCUUCUGGACGGUGACUGACGCUGAGACGCGAAAGCGUGGGGAGCAAACAGG
rnacentral:rRNA from 1 species